ACGGGGGGUCCUAGCGUUGUUCGGAAUUAUUGGGCGUAAAGCGUGUGCAGGUUGUCUGAAAAGUUAGAUGUGAAAUCCUUGGGCUCAACCCAAGACGUGCAUUUAAAACUGUCAGACUUGAGUAUGGAAGAGGGUCGUGGAAUUCCAGGUGUAGUGGUGAAAUACGUAGAUAUCUGGAGGAACACCGGUGGCGAAGGCGGCGACCUGGUCCAAUACUGACACUCAUACACGAAAGCGUGGGGAUCAAACAGGAUUAGAUACCCUGGUAGUCCACGCUGUAAACGAUGGACACUUGGUGUGGGAGGUAUUGACCCCUCCCGUGCCGAAGCUAACGCGUUAAGUGUCCCGCCUGGGGAGUACGGUCGCAAGAUUA
rnacentral:rRNA from 1 species